AACGAACGCUGGCGGCGUGCCUAACACAUGCAAGUCGAACGCGAAAAGCAGUAAUGCUGAGUAGAGUGGCGCACGGGUGAGUAACACGUAACUGACAUGUCCUAGAGACAAGGAUAACCGUUCGAAAGGAUGGCUAAUACUUGGUAAGCCCACGGAUUAGGAUCUGAGGGAAAAGGAUCGGGACCUUUCGAGGCCGAUCGCUUUAGGAGUGGGUUGCGGCCCAUCAGGUAGUUGGCGGGGUAAAAGCCCACCAAGCCUAAGACGGGUAGCUGGUCUGAGAGGAUGAUCAGCCACACUGGAACUGAGACACGGUCCAGACUCCUACGGGAGGCAGCAGUGGGGAAUCUUGCGCAAUGGCAGAAAUGCUGACGCAGCAACGCCGCGUGGGUGAUGAAGGUCUUCGGAUCGUAAAGCCCUGUCGAAGGGGAAGAUGCUUGUGCAUGUUAACAGUAUGCAUAGGUGACGGUACCCUUAAAGGAAGCACCGGCUAAC
rnacentral:rRNA from 1 species